rnacentral:sRNA from 1 species
AUCUCAAUAUUAAAAGAAUGGAGAUCAACCAGGAAAUUUUCUUCAUUCUGGAUACCCCCUCCUCGUGGCUGUUUCUGCAUAGCUCUGACCAGUAGGGAAAACUCAAGCUGCUGGUGUCUGUUCUUUCGUCUCAUUUGGAGUCAUCUCAUGACUGCCGCCUAGCAACUCUAUUUGCCUUGUUCCUGGGAGAUGAUAUACUGAGAGAAAACAGGAGAGCAACUGGUAGUAAGAGGCAAGAAGACAACAAGACCCUAGUCCUGGUUCCAAUUUAGGUGGUGGUGAUGACCUCAAACUUCGUUAAUUAAUAGCACAGCAGAUGUGUGCUGCCCAUCUUUACAUACACAUUGCUUCUAGUUGGCAGAAAUAAUUGAUUAAAAGACCAGAAACUGUGAUAACUGGAGGUACUACGGUCUAUUUCUCAACCUUAGGCAGUAAUAGACAUCACAAACUGCCAUGGUUUUGCACUAUGAUUAUAAUACCUGCAUUUCUAAUUUUUUAAGCAUGUAGCCAGUAAUAAUUUGAAGUUUUUUUCUAUGCAAGCUUACCUUGUUGGCAUUAUUUUAGGGAGUUGAAACUAUCAACUGUAAAGCUCCUUUUCUUCCACUUUAAUUUAAAAGUUCAUGUCAUUUAAAAACAAGUCAAGAAAUUAAAAUUGUAUCAGAGGGUUUUCUCUAAUCAUUUUUUCUAUUUUUUUUUUUGUACUUCUAGAUGUUUUGGUUAUACAGCUUCAUUUUAGACGAGCAUUCUUAUUUUUUGUUUUGUUUGCCCCAUUUCCUUUUGUGUUUUUAUAGUCUAUAGCAUUUUAAAACUGCUGAUGUUGUUUGCAUUAUUUACAGGCUAAAAACUUAGUAGCAUAGAGCUGUCUGCCACAGCCUUCUGACAAAGUUUACAGUUAUUAAAGUUGCAGUAUCCU